CUAUGGGCCGCUGCAGUGAGGAAUAUUGCACAAUGGGGGGAACCCUGAUGCAGCAACGCCGCGUGGAGGAUGACGCAUUUCGGUGUGUAAACUCCUUUUAUAUGUCAAGAAAAUGACGGUAGCAUAUGAAUAAGCACCGGCUAACUCCGUGCCAGCAGCCACGGUAAUACGGAGGGUGCAAGCGUUACUCGGAAUCACUGGGCGUAAAGGACGCGUAGGCGGGUUGGAAAGUCAGGUGUGAAAUCCUACAGCUUAACUGUAGAACUGCACUUGAAACUUCUAAUCUAGAGUAUGGGAGGGGGAGAUGGAAUUAGUGGUGUAGGGGUAAAAUCCGUAGAUAUCACUAGGAAUACCUAAAGCGAAGGCGAUCUCCUGGAACAUUACUGACGCUAAGGCGUGAAAGCGUGGGGAGCAAACAGGAUUAGAUACCCCGGUAGUC
rnacentral:rRNA from 1 species